UACGUAGGGUGCAAGGGUUAAUCGGAAUUACUGGGCGUAAAGCGUGCGCAGGCGGUUUUGUAAGUCUGACGUGAAAUCCCCGGGCUCAACCUGGGAAUUGCGUUGGAGACUGCAAGGCUAGAAUCUGGCAGAGGGGGGUAGAAUUCCACGUGUAGCAGUGAAAUGCGUAGAGAUGUGGAGGAACACCGAUGGCGAAGGCAGCCCCCUGGGUCAAGAUUGACGCUCAUGCACGAAAGCGUGGGGAGCAAACAGG
rnacentral:rRNA from 1 species